GCCUUCUUGGUGUAGUGGUCAGCACGUUGGGCGCGUAUUCCAGAGGUCCGUGGUUCGAGUCUCGGCGAAGGCG
rfam:Stegodyphus mimosarum contig21884, whole genome shotgun sequence.